CCAGCCUCGGCCAUCCCUCUAUGCCCGAAAACCGGUGAUCUUCUCCGGCACCGGUCAGCACCCCCACCCCCCAACCCUAAGUGGAGUUCGUGAGGGACUGCUUCCUCUCCAGCAUCACCUUCUCGCCUCCGCCGUCGCUGCUGCGGCUCGAUCUAUGCCUCGCCGUCGCCGUCGCGGUCACGACGACGUCGUUGCUGGCUCGGACCCUACUCUCCCUCGCCGCCUCUGGUGCGGCCCGUCGCGGCAUCGCCGCCUGCAUGGCUCCCUCGGGCUGAACAGGCAUCGGGAAGACGAAGAAGUAUCGAGGGAGAUGAAGAGAGAGGUGGGGAUGGAUAAGGAAGGGGUGGGGCCCACGUUUGCAAGCAUGGAAACUAACCCCGCAAGUAGAAAGCGACGGUUUGGUGCUAAAGAGGGAUCUCGUAAUCAUUAGGGCAUCUUCAACAAUGGGUACUACAAUGGUACCAAGAAAAUAUUAGCCAAUGUAGAGAAGGGAUGAGUAUCACAAGCAAAUAGUGGUUACUUGUACAUGUAACCACUCCUACAUGGGUACCAAGAAAAUAAAAAAUAUGACAUGUGGGAAAUUAGUACCAUAAGAGAAAGAUAUGCGACAAUAAAAAACGUAUUAAAAAAAGAAGAGAAAAAAAUUAGUAUCAACCACCAUUGAAGAUGCCCUUAGAGAAACUCCAGCCGUUCCCCCCA
rnacentral:lncRNA from 1 species